UACGUAGGGGGCUAGCGUUGUCCGGAUUUAUUGGGCGUAAAGAGCGUGUAGGCGGCCAGGUAGGUCUGCUGUGAAAACUCGAGGCUCAACCUCGAGACGUCGGCGGAAACCAUCUGGCUAGAGUCCGGAAGAGGAGAGUGGAAUUCCUGGUGUAGCGGUGAAAUGCGCAGAUAUCAGGAAGAACACCCGUGGCUAAGGCGGCUCUCUAGUACGGUACUGACGCUGAGACGCGAAAGCGUGGGGAGCGAACAGGAUUAGAUACC
rnacentral:rRNA from 1 species